UUCCCUCCACAUCUGAAUCCAACCUUCCAGCCCAUCCUUCUCUUCUGAGAACUGAGUGCCUGCAUCUAGCCGCCAGCCAUGGACCCCAAUUGUGACUGUGGGAAGGGUGCCUCUUGCACCUGUGCAGGCUCCUGCAAAUGUACAUCCUGCCGCUGUACUUCCUGCAAGAAAAGCUGCUGCUCCUGCUGCCCAGUGGGAUGUGCCAAGUGUGCCCAGGGCUGUGUCUGCAAAGCCCCCCAGACUGAGAGUUGCAGCUGCUGCCAGUGAUGGUCCUGCCCCCCCCCCCCCUUGUAAAUAGAGGAAUUUGUACAGAUCUGGCUUUUUAUACACUGUAGAUGUACUUUCUGCUUUGUUUUUAUGAAAUAUGUGAAUGAAAAUAAAACCAUCAUGUACCCUUC